rnacentral:rRNA from 1 species
GAUGAACGCUGGCGGCGUGCUUAACACAUGCAAGUCGAACGAGAAAUGUAGACGGAAACCUUCGGGCGGACGCCUUCAUUUCGAGUGGCGGACGGGUGAGUAACGCGUGGGUAACCUGCCUCAUACAGGGGGAUAACAGUUGGAAACGACUGUUAAUACCGCAUAAGACCACAGCAUCGCAUGAUGCGGGGGUAAAAACUCCGGUGGUAUGAGAUGGACCCGCGUUCGAUUAGCCAGUUGGCGGGGUAACGGCCCACCAAAGCGACGAUCGAUAGCCGAUCUGAGAGGAUGACCGGCCACAUUGGGACUGAGACACGGCCCAAACUCCUACGGGAGGCAGCAGUGGGGAAUAUUGCACAAUGGGGGAAACCCUGAUGCAGCGACGCCGCGUGAGUGAAGAAGUACUUCGGUAUGUAAAGCUCUAUCAGCAGGGAAGAAAAUGACGGUACCUGAGUAAGGAGCCCCGGCUAACUACGUG